rnacentral:rRNA from 1 species
AACGUAGGAGACAAACGUUAUCCGGAGUUACUGGGCGUAAAGGGCGUGUAGGUGGUUUUGUAAGUCUGGCGUGAAAUUUUUCGGCUUAACCGGGAAAGGUCGUCGGAUACUGCAGGACUAGAGGACGGUAGAGGCGUGUGGAAGUUCCGGGUGUAGUGGUGAAAUGCGUAGAGAUCCGGAGGAACACCAGUGGCGAAGGCGGUUCUCUGGGCCUUACCUGACGCUGAGGAGCGAAAGCGUGGGGAGCGAACAGG